rnacentral:rRNA from 1 species
CCUACGGCGGGCAGCAGUGAGGAAUAUUGGUCAAUGGGCGAAAGCCUGAACCAGCCAAGUAGCGUGCAGGAUGAAGGCCCUAUGGGUUGUAAACUGCUUUUACAGGGGAAUAAAGAGGAGCACGAGUGCCCUGUUGCAUGUACCCUGCGAAUAAGGACCGGCUAAUUCCGUGCCAGCAGCCGCGGUAAUACGGAAGGUCCUGGUGUUAUCCGGAUUUCUUGGGUUUAAAGGGAGCGGAGGCCGUAGAUUAAGUGUGUUGUGAAAUGUAGGCGCCCAACGUCUGCCUUGCAGCGCAAACUGGUUUACUUGAGUACGCGCAACGCAGGCGGAAUUCGUCGUGUAGCGGUGAAAUGCUUAGAUAGGACGAAGAACUCCUAUUGCGAAGGCAGCUUGCGGGAGCGUCACUGACGCUGAAGCUCGAAAGUGCGGGUAUCGAACAGGAUUAGAUACCCUAGUAGUC